GCAGCAGCAGUGAGCAGCAGCAGCAGCAGCAGUCGAACGCGCAUACGCCAACAUAUAAACACACUUCUAGCCAUACGUAUACGACGUUACACUGCAUAUAUCGUACGAACAAAGUACAUGCACGUACGCAUAUCGAGCGAAUGUUUUUCGUCAACAUGCAUCGCGUCAACGCUGAUUAAUUAUGUUUUGUGUACGUAAUAUUCAGCGCAGUUGCCAAUCAACGAAGCAGCCAGCCUUGCUCGUCGCUCGCAUCCUCAGAGCCAGGUACUCGCGUCGCAGCGACAAGAGCACCAGCUCCUACAAGCUCGUCGCCUCGAGGAACGAUGCCCUUGACGAGACGGAGAAUAAUGCAAUUCUUGGUAUCGAUUCCAAUUGGGAGCUCCUGACACCCAGAGGAUUUCGUUUCUACUUACCGGGUAGCAUCGGUCCAGGAUGGCUAGAUGCAACAACAACGGCUCAAGUAGAAGUGCAGUCGGUUUUAGUGCCAAAUGAGAUAGAAGAUAUAGAAAUAGCAAGGUCAAAUGUAAAUAAAAGAAAAAAUAUACUGAAUGUUCCUGAAGUGUAUUCCGUGUUGCAUUGUCAUUCUCAAGAAUGUCCGACAUUGCUUCGAAAGGAUAUCUUAGAAUUAUUUCCAGGGUGCCUGGAAGUAGCUUCUCCACAAUUAACCAUAAUUACAAUCAGUCAAAAGACCAACAAUAAAAACUCAAGAUGGAGUAAAGAAUUGGAAACAGAAAGAUUAGCGCAAUAUUUUGUGCUUGCUGCAUCUGAUGUGUGUAAAAAAUUGAAAAUGUGCGGGUAUUGGGCAGAUUUUAUCAAUCCAUUCAGUGGUCAACCAUACUCAAAUCAGAAGAAUAAUGUAUUGUAUCAAACUGAUGAACGUUUUCGAUCAGUAGGUUUUAAAGUAGAAAAAAAACAAAACUGCAAAGUCAUAACACAUGAUAAUGAUUCACAGAAUUUUAUUGGUAAUCUCUAUACAACAGCUCCGGCAAACACAGAAUUUUUGAAAGAAAUUAUGAGUAACAUAAAUAAUAAAAUAGAAUGACAUAUGGAACAAAUAAUGUAAUUGUCUUUUUGGAAAAUAACCAUUGACUGGUAAAACGUUUGAACUAGGAAAAAAUCAUUAUUGUAAGAUUUACAUAUUAUCAGAUAACUCUACAGAGAACUGAUUAAAAUACCACUGUAAAAAUUCAAGUAUGAAUUGCAUCUGUACAGUCACUGUAAAAAUAUAAAAAAAAUAAAAUACUAUAUUAUAUUA
rnacentral:misc_RNA from 1 species